UACCCGCUGAACUUAAGCAUAUCAAUAAGCGGAGGAAAAGAAACCAACAGGGAUUACCUUAGUAACGGCGAGUGAAGCGGUAAAAGCUCAAAUUUGAAAUCUUCGGAAUUGUAAUUUGACGGGUAGAAUUUGUUUUUUAAAGAAAGUUCACUGGAAUGUGACGCCACAGAGGGUGAUAGCCCCGUUAAUCAAAAAAACUACUUAAUUCUAUUCCUAAGAGUCGGGUUGUUUGGGAAUGCAGCUCAAAGUGGGUGGUAAAUUCCAUCUAAAGCUAAAUAUUGGCGAGAGACCGAUAGCGAACAAGUACAGUGAUGGAAAGAUGAAAAGAACUUUGAAAAGAGAGUGAAAUAGUACGUGAAAUUGUUGAAAGGGAAGGGAAAGGGGGAGAUAAUUCAAGCUAAUACUUCUGUGUUGCUUGACCACAUC
rnacentral:rRNA from 1 species